GUUGAACGCUGGCGGCAUGCCUUACACAUGCAAGUCGAACGGUAACAGGUUAAGCUGACGAGUGGCGAACGGGUGAGUAAUGUAUCGGAACGUGCCCAGUCGUGGGGGAUAACUGCUCGAAAGAGCAGCUAAUACCGCAUACGACCUGAGGGUGAAAGCGGGGGAUCGCAAGACCUCGCGCGAUUGGAGCGGCCGAUAUCAGAUUAGGUAGUUGGUGAGGUAAAGGCUCACCAAGCCGACGAUCUGUAGCUGGUCUGAGAGGACGACCAGCCACACUGGGACUGAGACACGGCCCAG
rnacentral:rRNA from 1 species